AUUGAACGCUGGCGGCAGGCCUAACACAUGCAAGUCGAACGCGUGGCGGACGGGUGAGUAAUGUCUGGGACACUGCCCGAUGGAGGGGGAUGACUACUGGAAACGGUAGCUAAUACCGCAUACCAUCGGAUGUGCCCAGAUGGGAUUAGCUAGUAGUUGGGGUAACGGCUCACCUAGGCGACGAUCCCUAGCUGGUCUGAGAGGAUGACCAGCCACACUGGAACUGAGACACGGCCCAGACUCCUACGGGAGGCAGCAGUGGGGAAUAUUGCACAAUGGGAGCAAGCCUGAUGCAGCCAUGCCGCGUGUAUGAAGAAGGUCUUCGGAUUGUAAAGCACUUUAAGUUGGGAGGCGUUACCAACAGAAUAAGCACCGGCUAACUCCGUGCCAGCAGCCGCGGUAAUAC
rnacentral:rRNA from 1 species